GGAGAUUUGGCCGAGUGGUUUAAGGCGCAUGCCUGGAAAGCAUGUUGAGAUUUUUUCUCUCAGAGGUUCGAAUCCUCUAUUCUCCG